rfam:Cricetulus griseus cell line CHO-K1, whole genome shotgun sequence.
AUUGCAAUGAUACAGGGAGGAUUAAAAUUGCAAUGAUACAGGGAGGAUUAAGCAUGGCCCCUGCGAAAGGAUGACGUGCAAAUUCGUGAAGCACAAAGAGAGAGA